rnacentral:misc_RNA from 1 species
AUGAUUGCGAAUGGUCGCCUUCAGUGCUGGCUCGCAAGAGCAAGUGCACGUUGGUGGCUUUCCUCCAAUUCCACACCCUGUGAACCUUUGGCCUCUUGCGAGCUUCGGCUGGCAGAGGAUUUUACAUAUAUACUCGAAUGUAAUGAAAACUAUUGUUGUGCGCAAGCACUAUUAUAUA